CCGAGCUGCAGGAGGCCGCGGGCGCGAGACUGGGAAUGCGCAGGGCCCCCGCCUGGCUCUACAAGCCCGGGCCGCGGCCCCCGCCUUCCCCGCCGCCUCCCGGCGCUCCGUGCCCGCCCCACGAGGCCGGCGGCUGCUGCUACCUGGGGCCGUUGCUGCUUGUGCCGUGAGCGACGGCCAGCCAUUGUCCCCGCCGCUCCGUCAGCCGCGCCCGGCCGCGCGCGCACCGGAAGGCGCAUUGGCGUCUUGCGGGCUCCGGGCCGGGUGGGCAGGAUGGCCUCCACAAGCCGCAUGGCGCGCAUGGGGAGCCUCCGUUGAUGCCGCCGCGCCGCCCUCCGAGGCUGCAUCCGCGGAAGCCCGGCUCCCCGAGCGCUCCGGCCCGGCCCGGCGCCCCGGACCUGAGUGCGUCCCCAUGAAGGCGCCCGGGCUGGCCCAGGCGGCCGUGGCAGAGGAGACCCCGGACUGGGCGCCCGAGCUCUGCCCCAGCUCCGAGGCGCGGUCGCCGGAGCCGCCUGCCAACCGCCUUCAAGACUUCGACACGCUGGUCACCGUGGGAAAGCAACUAGAAGCCAUUUGUGUCAAGGUAACGUCUGGAGAAACAAAAGGUCAGGAAUGGCCAACGUCCCUACUGGCCACAGUCCAGCCCCAAUCUGCAAGACAGAGCCAGCCGCCCCGGGGGAAUUCCCGCCUGGUGGGACUCCACGUCACCAGCCCCCAGCUGCUCAGGGUACAGCCCCUCGUGAGAACCGAGCCACAGUCAUGUUUCCUACAUCAGCCUCCUGCUCAGGGGUUUGUACAGAGACCACUGCCAGCCCUCUAGGUGGUCCCUGCAAAGAGAGUCCCAGCCCCCAAGGCUCCAAAUGGACAGGGCACCAUGUUGACCCCUUCGUCGGCCUCCAGUUUGCCGACUGUAACAUGUUUCAUCCAGUUCAGGACGUUUAUUUAUUUCCAACUUGCAUACAAAACAUACUGAGAAACUAAAACCAUCGUUAAAAGUGAAGACACGUUGAGACAGGUAUCUCGACCUGCCAAGUAUAAAGCUAAAGCUGAGUUCAUAAAAAGGGAUGAUUUGGCCGACGGUCAUCUGCCAGAUUCUGAUGAUGAUUCAGAAGUCAGUGUGGAAGAAGAUCAGAGGGAGAGGCAGGCGCUCUUUGACUUAUCAAGCUGCUCCCUGAGGCCCAAAAGCUUCAAGUGUCAGACUUGUAAAAAGUCAUAUAUAGGGAAGUGGGGACUGGCCCAGCAUUUUAAACUUAAUCCAGGCCAUGGCCAGCUGGACCCUGAGAUGGUGCUAUCUGAGAAAGCCAAUGGGAGCACCCUCCGGGGGUGCACAGAGGAAAGGACGCUCAGCCUGACCUUCCCGGGGCUGUCCGUGCCAGCGGCUCCGCGUGAGGGAGGGGCCCGCUCCUGCUUGGUGAGAGAGUCAGCACGCGGUGGCCUGCAGGGUUAUAGAGUGGAAAGUCCCACAAUCUUUUUCUUCUCUAUUUUCAGAAAAACGUUGACCUCUUGGCGAGAAUGCAAAGAAGGGAACGCUUGCUUAUACGCUGUUGGUGAACUGUCACCCCUACAACUCAGCUUGCAACCAGCCCUGGCCACCAGUUUCCCCACACUGAGCUGAAUAUCGGACAUGCCCAUCUCAGACAUUCCAGCCCAUUCUGAAAUUCCACAUCGAUUCACCUGACAAAGUCUGAAGUUCCAGGGCAAUUUAUCUGGAAAAGCUUACCUGGAAUCACGUGUCAUUUCAACCAACAACUGUUGAAGAGGACGUGGCAUUAAAACCAAGGGUAUCAAUUA